UUUCUUCCGUGCCAAGAUCAGCGGGAACUAAACCACCGGGGUCAGAGGUCACGAUUCAAGGACUCGAACCUGCGUCCAGGCUCCGUUUUCUUUCCGAUAAGAUUGAGGAAAGAUUCCAGCCGAUCAUAGGAGAGGAUUCGGGACCUGGACUCGGGAUCGAUCCAGCAAGAAUACUGCGCGUGACGGCGGAAAAUACCUGUGCUGUAACCGUAGAACCGAAGACUCCGAGAGACGGAAUCGAGGGAACCUCAAUCCGACAACGAGGGUGAGCGACUCUGCGGCACUCCGCGUCUGAGGGGCGAUACUUUGGAUUGUUGUUCGCAGCUCUGGAAGUACGGAGGUGUCUACCCUUGGUCUACGAGGGUGGAAUUCGCGCCCGCCGCACGCGACACGCACGCGCGAUUAGCACCAAGGUGCUGCGCCUUGCAACACCCAACCGUCGCAUACCUCGAACCUUUUGACACAUGGCGUGCCGUGCAUGGGGGGGAUGCUUGGCGUUCCGUACCGGGAUUGGCGUCCUGUAUUUUUCUGGAUCAGUAGCAAUGAGUCUGCGCUUCAGUUCGUUCCUGCCGACUCCAGGAGGCCCAACAAGAACGAUGGGCCUGUAGGACCCGGGCCUCGGAUAGAGCUUGGCGACUUCCUC